GACGAACGCUGGCGGCGUGCUUAACACAUGCAAGUCGAACGAUGAACCCGGAGCUUGCUCUGGGGGAUUAGUGGCGAACGGGUGAGUAACACGUGAGUAACCUGCCCUGGACUCUGGGAUAAGCGUUGGAAACGACGUCUAAUACCGGAUAGGACCUUGGAUCGCAUGAUCUGGGGUGGAAAGUUUUUUCGGUCUGGGAUGGACUCGCGGCCUAUCAGCUUGUUGGUGAGGUAAUGGCUCACCAAGGCGUCGACGGGUAGCCGGCCUGAGAGGGUGACCGGCCACACUGGGACUGAGACACGGCGCAGACUCCUACGGGAGGCAGCAGUGGGGAAUAUUGCACAAUGGGCGAAAGCCUGAUGCAGCAACGCCGCGUGCGGGAUGACGGCCUUCGGGUUGUAAACCGCUUUUAGUAGGGAAGAAGGGCUUCGGCUUGACGGUACCUGCAGAAAAAGGACCGGCUAACUACGUG
rnacentral:rRNA from 1 species